rnacentral:sRNA from 1 species
UGACCACUCCACCGGAGGAAAGGCCAUACGGACAGCCGGGUCAAAUGCCGA